CCUCAUUAGUGGCCCUCACAGUGGCAGGGCUGCAAAUUACUGUCGGACAUCGGACAAUGUCCGACUAAAUUUGGCAAAUGUCCGAGCAAAAGUAAUUUUGAUCGGACAUUGGUCCGAUCACAAAAAAAAAUUGUCACAUACAUUUUUUUGCUGUGACAAAAUCCGAUUGCAAAUUUGUAUUUUGCAAUAAGGCAUUCUAGCAUUUUACUUAACGUUGCGC